CGGUGGUCGUUGCGCAUGCGAUUACAUUCGAAUAAAAAAUAUUGUGUGUAAAAGAAUGCGCCCACUACAAUGCUAAGUAACUUUGACUCGUGCCUCCAAGAUUUUUGAGAAUACAACGAAACAAAUAGUUGAAGCUUUAACGGAGUAUGCAGAAGGAUGCGAAAGGUCACGACACGCCAACCAGAUGGACAGCUGAUAGAGGCUCGACCUGGCUUCUUUCCUCGUAAAAUGGGUUAGAAGCCAUUUCUACGAUCAGGAAGUGACGUUACCGUUGAGACCGUCGGCACGAUAUUCGAAGCUUCUUCGUGUUCAACGUGUGACUUUAAUCUCGUAAAAUGGGCGGAAAGGCCUCGAACCUUGCUCUUUUUCCGCAUCAUUCAUCUUUUACCGCUUAUUAUCUCUGUCUCGUUAACCUAUCGUUGUAAAGAAUGUUGUAAAGAAAAUCGGUUUUAUUUUUAAAACGCAAUGAGAGGAAGAGGAUAAUAAACGAUCGUGUGUGUGUGUGUGUGUGUAAAAUAGAAAAGAGAGUGGAAAAAUACAAGUUUGAUAAGGUAGCUAGCUCGAUCAAUGUAUCACAUGAUACGGUAAUUUCGCGUAUAAUUUCAACGUGUAAAUCUCGUGCAAGGAAUUCGUGGUUGAUAUCGCGGAGGUUAGUCGUGACGAGUCUUGGGCGAGAAAAAAAAAAAAAAAGAUUGGCAUUGAGAAAUUUAAAAGGCAGUGAGCAAUCUGUAAGUGCAAAUUGCAAUUGUACGGCUUAUCCUGAAAAGAAUAUCAAUUCUAACCAACCUGUAUACAUUUGAAAGGAGAACGCGGAGAAUUUUGUCGCAACGAUUUCCUUGCAGUUGGCUUAUACACAUUGGAUCGCGUGUUCGCCAUUACCCUCUUUUACGUGUGUCUUGCGUUAUGUGUUAAAACAACCACUACUAGAGGCCAAGGUCACCGCUCACGAUCUUCCACUCGAAUCGUGUUUUACAGCGAUUCUUCUACCGAUUCAUCGAGAAAAUAUUUCAUAAACGUUCCUUCUUUUCGUCGAUCGAGAUUCUGUCGUCGAUAUUUUCCCUUAAAUUAUACGAGUUUUUUCGUUAUUCAUAAAAAAAAUGUAUGUAUUUAUAAAAAUUAAUGAAAAUAAAUAGAAAAAUUUACUUCUUUUCACGUUUUUCUUGUAGAUAAACAAGGAAAAAUAAAGUUUGAUGAUUGAACAGUAUGAGCACGUUUUUGACAUCUACGUUUGAUAGCGUUUGUUAUUUAUGCGAAAUAGCUUCGACCUGAAAUAAAACUUAUUUAAAUGAAUUUUAUAUAUUGCGAAACACGCAAAUGCUAUUCCUACGAAUUUAUUAGCAUGAUUUUAGUGUGCGCAAACUAUAUCUGGUCCGGUGUAUAGAAAAAAUAUUUUUUGUACUUUGUAAUAUAUUUGUUAGAUUUUAUUGUUGCUUGUCGAAAAUAUUUAAAUAUUUCUACGUUCAAAUUUAUCAAGAUUGUUCUCGAUAUGGAAUGAAAAUUUAUUUAACUUUCGUUAAACAAAUUUUGAAGAUAUAAAAUAUAAAGAAUGAAAUAAUAGGCAAGAAUAUAAAUUUUUAUAAUUCGUAUAUAUGAAUUUGAAUUUAAUACAUAAAUCAUACGCUUCCAAAAUAUUUAAAUAUUUGAAUAUUCAAAAAUUUUUUUGUUGAAAUAAGAUAUAAAGCAUGUGGUGCCAACUAUCGUUGCAGACUGUAAGCUCGAACUGAAAUAUAAUAUAUAUUUCGCAUUUCAGAG